CAACUGGCUCUAAAAUCAGAGUUUGAUGCAACAUGCUGUAGCACUGCAGUGUAUCUCAGACAUCCCACCCCACCUGUGAGAUGUAACACAUCCCCCUAUAUGAGAAUAUAUGUUGCUGUAUUUAGUUUAAGGUUGUAAGGUGAUUUGGUAAGUAAAUGACUGGCUGCAGGUCUGCUACAAACAGGGGACAACAGAUGACCAGGGUUAACUUAAUUAUAUAAUACUCCACCACAAAAUAGAAUAAGUCUGUGGUAGUGGUAUUAAGGUUUCAAGGAGCACAGAAGGGUGGCGCGCAAAAUUGUUUACAUUUUAAUGAUGACUAAUACAGCAACAAAAUGCCUUAAAGGUCACUAAUCAUACAGCUUUUCACUCGAGAAUACUGGACUUCAAUGUCUCAAUAAGGUAUAAGUUUUCAUUCCGUAAAACUCUGAAGAUAGUCCACACAACCCCUGUCAAUGUGCGGUUUUCAGUCACACUCAGUGAACAAGCUGUUUUUAGGGGCGUGUUGCAAGCGGAGCUGUUGUCACACCUCUGUGCAGAAGUAAAUGCUUUUUUUUGACCCGUCACAUGGUUUAGGAUACGAUGGUGCAACAUUGAGCAUGUAAUCCACCUUAAUUCUCCAAAGAAGACGACAACUCAACACGGACCUCAAGAGAGCAAUAAUAGCUUCAGUUCUUUCGGUAGUGGAGUCCAAGCACAUUUGUUUGAUCCAGAAUCUGACCCUGAAGGAAGCUGCUGAAGUCAUUACACUUCGACUGGUGCAAAAUGUGUGUCAAUGUGCCUUCAACACCAUCCAGCCAGUGCUUCUGAAACAAAAACUGGAGGAGGCUGGUGUGGACCUCCAUCUGAUGGAGUGGAUUAUGGACUACCUCACAAACAGGCCUCAGUUUGUGAGAGCCAGGGAAUGUGUGUCUGACACUCUGUCCUGCAGUGUGGGGGGCCCCACAGGGGACUGUACUGGCCCUUUUCCUCUCAGACUUCAGACACAACACAGAUAGCUGUGUUCUUCAGAAGUUCUCUAAUGACUCUCUGAUCGUCGGACUGAUCACCGAUGAUGACAAUGCAGAGUACAGAGGACUUACUUAGAACAGGACUUUGCGGAACCACUUCUUGAUCAAUGCAGGAGAUGGUGGUGGAUUUCCGCAGACGGCUGCCUCAUCAGCCAUCCUAUAUGGUGUGGUCUGCUGGAGGAGCAGCAUCACAGUGAGGGUCAGGAAGAGACUGUGCAAUAUGUAGAUUAAUUAUGACAUUUUUGCAUACCCACUCUGACCACUGUAUUAUACUAUGCCAACUCAACCCAGUUUCACUGAUCUGUUCUGUAUUUCCUACUUGCUGCUAUAUUUUUCUUCUUCUGCAUCACUCUGAGCUGUUGUGAGACGAAAUUUCCCCAUUGUGGGACUAUUAAAGGUUUUCUUAUUCUUAUCCUUAUUCUUAUUCUUAUCUUAAGUUGUUACAGGUAUCUAGUCUACAGAGGCUAGUGAGCUGGUGCUGGGGAUUCCUGGGAUGAAGAAUCUGAGUUGUCAUCUCUUCAUGCGCGGGUUGUAGAUCAAGGCAUAUUUUUCUGAUAAAACACUCACUGUAUGUUAGAUUUAGACCACCUGUGUAAUAACUCAUUUACCAUUUAAGUAGAAAUGUGUUGUUUAUGUCUGCAAUACUUACCAUGUACCAUAUGGCGAACACAGUAAACAUUCCUUAUGUAAAAUUUUUUUACCUUUGAAAUGUUUUAGAGUUGAGACGUGUAUUUUAUUUCUCAUUUAGUUUUUACAGUGUUAAGAUGCUCAACAUUGAGGGAAUAAAUGUUGACACGACCAUCAGUAAAAAACGUGGUGUCCCUCUAUAUAGUGAAAACUACGGUAGUUACAAUACUCAUUAAGAUCAAUUGAAUUGAAUUUUUAACUUAUAUUUCCACAUGCUUUUUUUCUUACGGUUGGUUCACCUUUAUAACUUACCUUAUUAGAAAGAGAAAAAUAUGUAAUUUCAAUACUAUGAUUCCUGAAUUAAAGUGUUUUCCUCUUAUAAAAACAGAGUUCAGUGAAAUAUGUAAUAGUCAAAGCCGAUUUUAUUGUCAACCAGAAAAUGCACCAGUACUCCAAAGCUAAAAGAAACUGUUAUCUUUACACCCCAAUGUGCAAUGUAUAGGUUACUCAGUGAGUUGAGAAUUCUAGGGGUUUGAGGACAGAAGCUCUUGCAGGGCCUUGUGGUGGAAGUAGGGUAAACAGACCAUGUCCUGGGGAUCUAACAGUUUCAGCAUUAUUGUCUGGCUUCUGCCUGUCCCUUCCUGUUUAGUUCCUGGUCUGCUCUGGUUUUCUCCUGUUUUACUUUCCAGUCACAUGAUUCAUCAGCUGUAGUCAAUCGGUAAUCUAGUCAGGCAUUUAAACCUCAGUUCUCCUCACGUUCUCUGCCAGAUUGUUGACCACUUUACCGGUAUCAACUCAUUCCUGUCUCGUAAGUCCUUUGUGUACCAGUCCUGGAUUUUGUUUUUGAUCAUAUCCUGUCUGCUCCCUGUCUCUAUCGUUUUGGACUCUGCCUGAUUACUGGACCUUUGCUUGGAGAACUGAUUACCUUUUGCCUGUUCCCUGUCUGUACCUGCCUUCAUGUUUAUCCGUGUACCGACUUCUGCCUGUCUGACCAAGCAUUAAACCACCACAAAUCAUA